AUUGAACGCUGGCGGAAUGCUUUACACAUGCAAGUUGAACGGCAGCACGGGGCAACCUGGUGGCGAGUGGCGAACGGGUGAGUAAUAUAUCGGAACGUGCCCAAUCGUGGGGGAUAACGUAGCGAAAGUUACGCUAAUACCGCAUACGAUCUACGGAUGAAAGCGGGGGAUCGCAAGACCUCGCGCGAAUGGAGCGGCCGAUAUCAGAUUAGGUAGUUGGUGGGGUAAAGGCUCACCAAGCCAACGAUCUGUAGCUGGUCUGAGAGGACGACCAGCCACACUGGAACUGAGACACGGUCCAGACUCCUACGGGAGGCAGCAGUGGGGAAUUUUGGACAAUGGGCGCAAGCCUGAC
rnacentral:rRNA from 1 species